CAAAAGAUUGGACAUGGAGGCAGGGGAGAUACUUAAGAGUGGAAGAUGAUACCUAGACUAAUUCCUUCCCUAUCUGGGCAAAUGUCACUCAGCAGGAAGAGUUAAUAACUGUUUCUGGGAACCUACUGGAACAAUCGGGAACAUACUGGAACAAUCAGGAACAUUCAUUUGUGUAAAGUUUUUUACAUGUGCAUGUAUAUAAGAUUGAAAUUUUUCAUUAUGCAUGGAAGUAAGCUAUGAGCUCUUCAUGAGUGCUUGUCAGAAUUCAUUAGUUAUUCUUCAUGGGUGGAAGUAAGCUUUACAUAUGAUCAUCUUCAUGAGUGGGUGUAUGCAUAAUGUAUAAUGUAUAAGUUCUUAGAUUUUUGUUAAGAAUAUGAAUUUGAAGUUUUCUUAUCUUUUGAUGUUUGAAUUUUCACAAGGGGAUUUAUUAUAUGCUGUCUUUUAGAUAUAUCUUGGAGAUAGAGUUUGGAUAUAAUGUAGUUCAUUUGGUUAUGGAGUUAUGUUGCCAUUUGAAAUAACUGUUGCAAAUCUACAAUAGUACAAACCUAGUAGAAUUUUUACCCAAACUUUGCCAAAUGGUGAAA